UACGGGGGGAGCAAGCGUUGUUCGGAUUUACUGGGCGUAAAGAGCUCGUAGGCGGUGUGUCACGUCGAUCGUGAAAACUUGGGGCUUAACUCUGAGCUUGCGGUCGAUACGGGCAUCACUGGAGUUCGGCAGGGGAGACUGGAAUUCCUGGUGUAGCGGUGAAAUGCGCAGAUAUCAGGAGGAACACCGGUGGCGAAGGCGGGUCUCUGGGCCGAUACUGACGCUGAGGAGCGAAAGCGUGGGGAGCGAACAGG
rnacentral:rRNA from 1 species